ACACGCAUGACACACUGCAUAUCAAUAAGCGGAGGAAAAGAAACUAACAAGGAUUCCCCUAGUAACGGCGAGUGAAGCGGGAAGAGCUCAAAUUUGAAAUCUUAAAGGGUUUCCCUUUACGAAUUGUAGUUUAAAGAAGUGUUUUCUGUUGGAGUUUCGGUAAAAGUUCUUUGGAAUAGGACAUCAUAGAGGGUGAGAAUCCCGUAUUUGACCGUUACUUUCCAGCUGUUGUGAUACACUUUCAACGAGUCGGAUUGUUUGGGAAUGCAGUCCAAAAUGGGUGGUAAAUUUCAUCUAAAGCUAAAUAUUGGCGAGAGACCGAUAGCGAACAAGUACCGUGAGGGAAAGAUGAAAAGAACUUUGAAAAGAGAGUUAAACAGUACGUGAAAUUGUCAAAAGGGAAGCGUUUGACACCAGUGUUGUUUUUCCGAAAAUCAAUUACGAAUGUUUUGUUUUUGAGAAGUUAUGACUUCAUCGGCUUGCUUCUUUCUUUACGAAACUUUCUUAAUGCACUUUUCGGUUAACAAGUCAACAUCAAUUUCUUUUGUUGUAAAAGGGUAUGAGGAAGGUGGCUUUCUUUUCGGAGAAAGUGUUUAUAGCCUUUGGCCUCUGCAAUCGGAGAGAUUGAGGUCUGCAGCGUAGAUCCUUCGGGGUUAGAUACACUUGUGCUAAGCUAUAGCCUUUCAUAGACAACUUGUUGACUAUGAUCAGUCAUGUAGCUUACUCGCUUAUGCUAUUUUACCUACGCUUAGGAUGUUGAAGACUCUACAGAGAU
rnacentral:rRNA from 1 species